UACGAACCGUCCAAACGUUAUUCGGAAUCACUGGGCUUAAAGGGUGCGUAGGCGGCCCGAUAAGUUGGGUGUGAAAGCCCUCGGCUCAACCGAGGAAUUGCGCCCAAAACUGUCGGGCUCGAGGGAGACAGAGGUGAGCGGAACUUAGGGUGGAGCGGUGAAAUGCGUUGAUAUCCUAAGGAACACCAGUAGCGUAAGCGGCUCACUGGGUCUCUUCUGACGCUGAGGCACGAAAGCUAGGGGAGCGAAGAGG
rnacentral:rRNA from 1 species